rnacentral:lncRNA from 1 species
CAAAAUAAUCAGAAGUAUGCUAAAUUCAGAUAUUAUUCAAGAUGAGUGCUACCAUUUUUUCUGAGUGUAGUAUUUAAAAAUCUUUGUAAAAUCUGGUUUGACUUACACAGAGCUUCCAUGGCUGGCUGUUUCACCUGGGUGUGGUGAGAUAAUGUUUGCAGAAAUACAGAGGUGUGUAUAACUGAACUUUUAGAAAAUUAAGAAAAUCCACCAGAUUUCUAUGAAUAGUUUUUAGUGAUUUUGCAAGCUCUCCUGGAACUCUGUAGUAGAGGCUGAGAUAGGAUUUAGUACUAAUUGGUGCUUUCAGCCAUCUCUUUCAUCAACUUCCCUUUACCAUUCAGUGCUUGAUGAUCACUUACAUUUGCGUUUCUACAACUAGUGAGAGCAUUCCUCAGUUUCAGCCCAGGAGCACAGAUUAAUCCAUAGAAUUUGGCAGUUUGUGGUUUCUACCUGAGAGUCAGAAUUGUAUUUUGUACUGUUUGGUGCUGUGUAUGUAUGAUAAUAUUCUCUGUUCCUGGGCACCUUAAGGAAGCAUCAGAAAUACUUAGAAUUGCUUAGAGGACUAAGUUGCAGUGUCUUUCAGAUUAUGGCUAAAUAGCUGGAUCUUUUUCUUGUCACAAAUUUUUGAAGGUAUGAAUAAUAUUUUGUACUCUAAUAUUGUAUACGUAAAUUUUGUUUCAUUCCCAACAGUCUUAUAAACAAAAUAUUUUUAUCACAUAUUUAUUCCUCUUGUUGAUGAAUGUAGUCAAAUCUAUAGCAAAGACAUUUAAGUUUCUCCACUGACUUUAGAGGCCAGGCAACUAGAA